rnacentral:rRNA from 1 species
UACGUAGGGGGCAAGCGUUGUCCGGAUUUAUUGGGCGUAAAGCGCUCGCAGGUGGUUCGUUGCGUCGUGCGUGAAAGACCCCGGCUCAACUGGGGAGGGUCGUGCGAUACGGGCGAACUGGAGGCCAGUAGGGGGAUGUGGAAUUCCGGGUGUAGUGGUGGAAUGCGUAGAGAUCCGGAGGAACACCAGCGGCGAAGGCGGCAUCCUGGACUGGUCCUGACACUCAGGAGCGAAAGCGUGGGGAGCGAUCCGG